rnacentral:rRNA from 1 species
AACGCGAAGAACCUUACCAGGGCUUGACAUGCUAUCGUUUAUUCGUUUGGAAACAAAUGGAAAUCCGCAAGGAUGAUAGCACAGGUGCUGCAUGGCUGUCGUCAGCUCGUGCCGUGAGGUGUUCCCUUAAGUGGGGAAACGAGCGCAACCCCCGCCUAAUGUUAAAUAUUCAUUAGGGACAGCCCCGAUUCAAUCGGGGAGGAAGGAGGGGAAGACGUCAAGUCAGCACGGCCCUUAUGCCCUGGGUUACACACACCCUACAAUGGCGAAGAACAAUGAGCUGCAAGCCGGCAACGGCAAGCGAAUCUCAGAAAUUUCGUCUCAGUUCAGAUUGGGGUCUGCAACCCGACCCCAUGAAGUCGGAAUCAGUAGUAAUCGCGGAUCAGAAGGCCGCGGUGAAUACGUUCCCGGGCCUUGUACACACCGACAUA